UACGGGGGGGGCAAGCGUUGUUCGGAAUUACUGGGCGUAAAGGGCUCGUAGGCGGCCAACUAAGUCAGACGUGAAAUCCCCAGGCUCAACCUGGGAACUGCGUCUGAUACUGAUUGGCUUGAAUCCGGGAGAGGGAUGCAGAAUUCCAGGUGUAGCGGUGAAAUGCGUAGAUAUCUGGAGGAAUACCGGUGGCGAAGGCGGCAUCCUGGACCGGCAUUGACGCUGAGGAGCGAAAGCUAGGGGAGCAAACAGG
rnacentral:rRNA from 1 species